rnacentral:rRNA from 1 species
GCAUAUCAAUAAGCGGAGGAAAAGAAAAUAACAAUGAUUCCUCUAGUAACUGCGAGUGAAGAGGGAAAAGCUCAAAUUUUAAAUCUGUUAGGUUUACCUUAACCGAGUUGUAAUUUGAAGAAGCGUUUUCUGCGAAUUUGGUUAGUCCAAAUCCUUUGGAAUAAGGUAUCAUGGAGGGUGAGAAUCCCGUUCGGUUAACCAAAGCGCUUUACGAUACGCUUUCAAAGAGUCAAGUUGUUUGGGAUUGCAGCUUAAAAUGGGAGGUAAAUUUCUCCUAAGGCUAAAUAUUGGCGAGAGACCGAUAGCGAACAAGUACCGUGAGGGAAAGAUGAAAAGAGCUUUGAAAAGAGAGUUAAACAGUACGUGAAAUUGUUGAAAGGGAAACGAUUAAAGUCAGUCGUACCUACGAGUAAUCAACCUACUCGAGUGCGAUUUUGUGGGUAUGUUAGAGCUUAAAAACCUUCAUGCUUACAAAUUGGUGCUCUUUGGGCGUACUUUCUCGUAUGGUAGGUUAACAUCAAUUUCGAUCGUUAUAAAAUGACUGGAGGAAUGUAGCUUCGAUCUCGGUUGAAGUGUUAUAGCCUUUGGUAGAUGUAAUGAUUGGGAUUGAGGAUUGCAACGGAUACCCUCUGGGCUAUUCGUCUGAUCUCUGGAAGUUACUUUGGUGUCGAAAGCGUGCUUACGAUAUUAAGGUUGACGGCCAAUAGGUUAGAACGUGAUUAAAUUCGUUAAGGAUGUUGACGUAAUGGCUUUAAACGAC